rnacentral:rRNA from 1 species
GUGGGAAACGAUGUGGGAAGGCCCAGACAGCCAGGAUGUUGGCUUAGAAGCAGCCAUCAUUUAAAGAAAGCGUAAUAGCUCACUGGUCGAGUCGGCCUGCGCGGAAGAUGUAACGGGGCUAAACCAUGCACCGAAGCUGCGGCAGCGACGCUGAUGCGUUGUUGGGUAGGGGAGCGUUCUGUAAGCCUGCGAAGGUGGCCUGUGAGGGUUGCUGGAGGUAUCAGAAGUGCGAAUGCUGACAUAAGUAACGAUAAAGCGGGUGAAAAGCCCGCUCGCCGGAAGACCAAGGGUUCCUGUCCAACGUUAAUCGGGGCAGGGUGAGUCGACCCCUAAGGCGAGGCCGAAAGGCGUAGUCGAUGGGAAACGGGUUAAUAUUCCCGUACUUGGUGUUACUGCGAAGGGGGGACGGAGAAGGCUAUGUUGGCCGGGCGACGGUUGUCCCGGUUUAAGCGUGUAGGUGUGUGUUCCAGGUAAAUCCGGUUCACUUUAACACUGAGGCGUGAUGACGAGGCACUACGGUGCUGAAGCAACAAAUGCCCUGCUUCCAGGAAAAGCCUCUAAGCAUCAGGUAACAUCAAAUCGUACCCCAAACCGACACAGGUGGUCAGGUAGAGAAUACCAAGGCGCUUGAGAGAACUCGGGUGAAGGAACUAGGCAAAAUGGUGCCGUAACUUCGGGAGAAGGCACGCUGACACGUAGGUGAAGUGAUUUACUCAUGGAGCUGAAGUCAGUCGAAGAUACCAGCUGGCUGCAACUGUUUAUUAAAAACACAGCACUGUGCAAACACGAAAGUGGACGUAUACGGUGUGACGCCUGCCCGGUGCCGGAAGGUUAAUUGAUGGGGUCAGCGCAAGCGAAGCUCCUGAUCGAAGCCCCGGUAAACGGCGGCCGUAACUAUAACGGUCCUAAGGUAGCGAAAUUCCUUGUCGGGUAAGUUCCGACCUGCACGAAUGGCGUAAUGAUGGCCAGGCUGUCUCCACCCGAGACUCAGUGAAAUUGAACUCGCUGUGAAGAUGCAGUGUACCCGCGGCAAGACGGAAAGACCCCGUGAACCUUUACUAUAGCUUGACACUGAACAUUGAGCCUUGAUGUGUAGGAUAGGUGGGAGGCUUUGAAGUGUGGACGCCAGUCUGCAUGGAGCCGACCUUGAAAUACCACCCUUUAAUGUUUGAUGUUCUAACGUGGACCCGUGAUCCGGGUUGCGGACAGUGUCUGGUGGGUAGUUUGACUGGGGCGGUCUCCUCCUAAAGAGUAACGGAGGAGCACGAAGGUUGGCUAAUCCUGGUCGGACAUCAGGAGGUUAGUGCAAUGGCAUAAGCCAGCUUGACUGCGAGCGUGACGGCGCGAGCAGGUGCGAAAGCAGGUCAUAGUGAUCCGGUGGUUCUGAAUGGAAGGGCCAUCGCUCAACGGAUAAAAGGUACUCCGGGGAUAACAGGCUGAUACCGCCCAAGAGUUCAUAUCGACGGCGGUGUUUGGCACCUCGAUGUCGGCUCAUCACAUCCUGGGGCUGAAGUAGGUCCCAAGGGUAUGGCUGUUCGCCAUUUAAAGUGGUACGCGAGCUGGGUUUAGAACGUCGUGAGACAGUUCGGUCCCUAUCUGCCGUGGGCGCUGGAGAACUGAGGGGGGCUGCUCCUAGUACGAGAGGACCGGAGUGGACGCAUCACUGGUGUUCGGGUUGUCAUGCCAAUGGCACUGCCCGGUAGCUAAAUGCGGAAGAGAUAAGUGCUGAAAGCAUCUAAGCACGAAACUUGCCCCGAGAUGAGUUCUCCCUGAGACUUUAGGUCUCCUGAAGGAACGUUGAAGACGACGACGUUGAUAGGCCGGGUGUGUAAGCGCAGCGAUGCGUUGAGCUAACCGGUACUAAUGAACCGUGAGGCUUAACCUUACA